GACGAACGCUGGCGGCGUGCUUAACACAUGCAAGUCGAGCGGGAUCCAACCGGUGGCAACACCGGGGAAGAUCUAGCGGCGAACGGGUGAGUAACACGUGAGCAACCUGCCCCGAAGACUGGGAUAACACCGGGAAACCGGUAGCUAAUACCGGAUGUCGUCAUUAGGCCGCAUGACCUGAUGAUGAAAGGAUUCAUCGCUUCGGGAGGGGCUCGCGGGCUAUCAGCUUGNGGUUGGGGUGAUGGCCUACCAAGGCGACGACGGGUAGCCGGCCUGAGAGGGCGACCGGCCACACUGGGACUGAGACACGGCCCAGACUCCUACGGGGAGGCAGCAGUGGGGAAUCUUGCGCAAU
rnacentral:rRNA from 1 species